ACCCAAACCAUGCACGUGGCUCAACAACAGCUUUGCACUCAAAUGUCAAAUCAGACGGGUAAUAAUUAAUUUAAACCAGUUCCUUAUAGUUUAUGAUUAAAUAAAUUUCCUUGAAGAUGCUUCCAGGCCACAUGAAUUGAUCUGAAUGAUCCCUCACCAGCAGUGUUGAUCUCUUCGGUUCUGGUUCUGGUCUCGUGGGAGUGAGGGUUGUAGACGACACAGGUUACAGACUUUAACCCAGUCAGACUGACAGAGCUUGUGAUGGAGAAGAUUUUUUCUGUUGGAUCCUGCUUCAAGAAUGUCUCAGCAUCCUGCAGGUCCUGCUCUUCAUCACUGGAUCUGUUCAGACCCUUCCAUGAUACCUGAGCUGCAGGGUAUCCUCCUCGUGGUGAGCAGGUUGCACUGUUGGUAAUGUCCUUAACCGUCAGGACCAGAUUCUGGUAGGGAGCUGUGAGUGUGACAGAAAGAACAACUGAGACAUUUACAGCACUUUGAUAUGAGGAGAGAUUUAUUGAGGUUUGUUGUAAAGAAGAUUCUCAGAUUACCUGAAACCUGCAGGAUGGAUCUGCACCGUUGUUCAGACAGUUUGGCGACUUUUUUCUGCUCAUCGUAAAAAUGUACGAAGGCAAAGAAUGUUUUCUGAUCAUCUUCAGGAGAAAUGUUGUCAAGUCUGAGGGAAGUGUUUCCAGAACUAAACCCAGAAUUGAAGACUUGGAAUCUGCCUUUGUAUUUGUCACAUCCUGGCAAUGUGUUCCCACUGUCCCAGUGACACAAAAGGUUAGGAGACUGGUCCUCCUUCCAGUAAAAUGUCAGUGGAUUACCAGGAAGAGAACAGGGAAUUAGGACAGAUCCUCCAACAGCUGCCCUGAGAAGCUGCUCUGAGAUCAGACCUGUAAUGUGUGCUAGAAUAGAAAAUAUGGUUGUCAUCAUAAAGUGAAAUGAUGAGUGCCAUCAAAACACUGAGAAUGUCACAAAAGUAAACCUGUAACAUGAACAGAUCAUGAAAAAACAAACUGCAUACAUUUAUAAACACUCAGGUUCAUCAGAAUCACAGGUGUCACGUUUGGCUACAACUAUAAUGUGCUUUACUGUGGCUGCAAUGACAAGCAGUGAGGGGCCGUCCAGACGGGCGAAAACAUUCUUUUUUGCCUCCGUCUUCCUCGUAAUCGUUUUAAGAAUAUUUGCGUCCACACGGAUCCACUGAAAACGACCGAAAACACUGUAGGCCUCUAGGUGGCGCUUGACAUUCACCAAAAAUGGAGAAGAAGAGACGGAGCAUGCGCAUUAAGCUUGCG
rnacentral:lncRNA from 1 species